AGCGGCGAGCGAGCGGGAAGAGCUCAAAUUUAUAAUCUGGCACCUUCGGUGUCCGAGUUGUAAUCUCUAGAAAUGUUUUCCGCGUUGGACCGCACACAAGUCUGUUGGAAUACAGCGGCAUAGUGGUGAGACCCCCGUAUAUGGUGCGGACGCCCAGCGCUUUGUGAUACAUUUUCGAAGAGUCGAGUUGUUUGGGAAUGCAGCUCAAAUUGGGUGGUAAAUUCCAUCUAAAGCUAAAUAUUGGCGAGAGACCGAUAGCGAACAAGUACCGUGAGGGAAAGAUGAAAAGCACUUUGGAAAGAGAGUUAACAGUACGUGAAAUUGUUGGAAGGGAAACGCUUGAAGUCAGACUUGCUUGCCGAGCAAUCGGUUUGCAGGCCAGCAUCAGUUUUCCGGGAUGGAUAAUGGUAGAGAGAAGGUAGCAGUUUCGGCUGUGUUAUAGCUCUCUGCUGGAUACAUCUUGGGGGACUGAGGAACGCAGUGUGCCUUUUGGCGGGGGUUUCGACCUCUUCACACUUAGGAUGCUGGUGGAAUGGCUUUAAACGACCCGUCUU
rnacentral:sRNA from 1 species